AUAUAUAUAUUGUUAGCAUAAUCUCGAUUAUUUUAAUACGUUUCGUGACGUCAUGCAACAGUGUUAAUAAAAAUAGUUCCCUACCCGCUAAUACGUUUUGUAACGUCAUGCAACAACGUCAAUAAAAGCAGUCCCUACCCGUUCAGAGGGCUCUUUUGCUUCUCGGCUUUCGGAACGAUAGGUCGUUGUUUCAUGACGAGUGCGUUGAUCAUUUUUAUAUUCAAAGUGACGGUUGUUUGCUUGGUUAAUUUAAAUUGUAAUUCUCGGUCAUUAUUUUCGAUUAAGUUAGUAGUUAAGGUUAAUUUUUGUGAUAAUUGUUAUAUUUGUAAAAAUGAGUAAUAAAUAGAAGUUAAGUGUUCGGUUCUCUGUCUUUUUUUUAAAUAAAUAAGUUUGUUUCUCCU
rnacentral:misc_RNA from 1 species